CGCGCAGGCGGCCGACGUAGUCAGGCGUGAAAGCCCCGGGCUUAACCUGGGAAUUGCGUUUGAUACUCGUUGGCUAGAGUUCGGGAGAGGAUGGUGGAAUUCCCAGUGUAGAGGUGAAAUUCGUAGAUAUUGGGAAGAACACCGGUGGCGAAGGCGGCCAUCUGGACCGAAACUGACGCUGAGGCGCGAAAGCGUGGGGAGCAAACAGGAUUAGAUACCCUGGUAGUCCACGCCGUAAACGAUGUGUGCUAGACGUUGGCGGACCUAGUUCGCCAGUGUCGCAGCUAACGCGUUAAGCACACCGCCUGGGGAGUACGGCCGCAAGGUUAAA
rnacentral:rRNA from 1 species